rnacentral:rRNA from 1 species
CGACCGGCGCACGGGUGAGUAACGCGUAUCCAACCUGCCCUUUACUAUGGGACAGCCCGUCGAAAGGCGGAUUAAUACCGUAUGUUGUCAUGUUGAUGCAUAUUUUCAUGACCAAAGGCUUCGGCCGGUAAAGGAUGGGGAUGCGUCUGAUUAGCUUGCCGGCGGGGUAACGGCCCACCGGGGCGACGAUCUGUAGGGGUUCUGAGAGGAAGGUCCCCCACAUUGGAACUGAGACACGGUCCAAACUCCUACGGAAGGCAGCAG